rnacentral:lncRNA from 1 species
UGAGGUUCAAAAAAGAUAUGAAGAACUCCAGCUACAACUUAAAGCAGAUGCGGCAGUGAGAGAAGCAAAGGCAGCUGCGAGAGAAGCUGAGGUUCAACGAAAGUAUGAACAACUCCAGCAGCAACUUAAAGCAGAUGCGGCAGCGAGAGAAGUAGAGGCUACAGCAAGGGAAGUAGAGGUUGCAGUGAGGGAAGCAGAACAGCUUAAAAAGUUCGAUGAACUCCAGCAGCAGUUUC